CCUACGUGUGGCAGCAGUGGGGAAUAUUGGACAAUGGGCGAAAGCCUGAUCCAGCCAUGCCGCGUGUGUGAAGAAGGCCUUCGGGUUGUAAAGCACUUUCAGUUGGGAAGAAAGCCUUGGGGCUAAUACCCUCGAGGAAGGACAUCACCCACAGAAGAAGCACCGGCUAACUCCGUGCCAGCAGCCGCGGUAAUACGGAGGGUGCGAGCGUUAAUCGGAAUUACUGGGCGUAAAGCGCGCGUAGGCGGUCUGAUAAGCCGGUUGUGAAAGCCCCGGGCUCAACCUGGGAACGGCAUCCGGAACUGUCAGGCUAGAGUGCAGGAGAGGAAGGUAGAAUUCCCGGUGUAGCGGUGAAAUGCGUAGAGAUCGGGAGGAAUACCAGUGGCGAAGGCGGCCUUCUGGACUGACACUGACGCUGAGGUGCGAAAGCGUGGGUAGCAAACAGGAUUAGAUACCCGAGUAGUC
rnacentral:rRNA from 1 species